CCUACGGGAGGCAGCAGUGGGGAAUAUUGCACAAUGGGGGAAACCCUGAUGCAGCAACGCCGCGUGAAGGAAGACGGUUUUCGGAUUGUAAACUUCUGUUCUUAGUGAAGAAUAAUGACGGUAGCUAAGGAGCAAGCCACGGCUAACUACGUGCCAGCAGCCGCGGUCAUACGCAGGUGGCAAGCGUUGUCCGGAAUUACUGGGUGUACAGGGAGCGCAGGCGGGGAGCCAAGUCAGCUGUGAAAACUACGGGCUUACCUUGUAGACUGCAGUUGAAACUGGUUUUCUUGCGGGCAGUAGAGGUGGGCGGAAUUCCGAGUGUAGCGGUGAAAUGCGUAGAUAUUCGGAGGAACACCGGUGGCGAAGGCGGCCCACUGGGCUUUAACUGACGCUGAGGCUCGAAAGUGUGGGGAGCAAACAGGAUUAGAUACCCGAGUAGUC
rnacentral:rRNA from 1 species